GGGAAGCAGCAGCCACAGCAGCAGCUAACCAGGGAGAAAGGGAAGAAAGGAGAUCAGACAAAGGAGAAUACCCGCUAUAAAACUGGGAAAAAAACUAUAAAACUAUGUUCUGUUGCACAAUGGGCCAGAAAGGAGAGAAACCUUAGUUGGAAGAAGCAAGGGGAGAAAUCUCUAGGACCAAUGGAAGAAUAGAAAGAAGGUGUGAGGAGCCACCUGGGACUGACAAGUGUUGCCUAGGGGUUAUAUCAGCAAAAGUUCCUGAUCAGCAAAAGUGGCAACUCCACUGACAACUGGUAGGAAAAAGAAAAGGAGACGGAGGAUUGACCGAAGCAUGAUAGGCGAGCCAACAAACUUUGUUCACACAGCUCAUGUAGGAUCAGGUGACCUGUUCAGUGGAAUGAAUUCAGUUAGCUCCAUACAGAACCAAAUGCAAUCCAAAGGAGGUUAUGGAGGUGGAAUGUCUUCAAAUGUCCAAAUGCAGCUUGUAGAUACAAAGGCAGGAUAACCUUGGGAGCAUUUUCAGUUCAUGUGAAUUUCCAUAGUUCUUCUUUCUACUGUUUUGUUUUUGUUUAUUUGGAGUUUUUUGGUUUUUGGAAUUGUUUUGGUUUGGGACUUGGGGGGGAGGGGGCCCUUGAGACUACUUUCAUGCUUAUUUUAAGAAAGAAAUGUGAUAUGGGACCUUGUUCAACCUCUUGUGAUUACUUCAGUGAAAAGUUACUGUUAUGCUCCAAAGAAGCUGUUUGUAAAAGUGGAUCUUGUCAUGCCUUCCACUGGCAUGCAUGUUGUUGGCUUCUACCAAAAUAAUCGAUAAAUAGUAGACUGGGUUGUGAUUUUAUAUUUUAGAUAUUUUUUCAAGUUUGAAUAAAUAGGCAACUGAUUUUAGCAUGACAUUUUCCUCUAAUCACUACUAUACAGCAUAAGUUUGCCAAUUUUUUUACUUAAAAAAAGAAGCUUUUCUGUCCCUUCUACUCUUCUUGUUGUAAUUUUAGGUCCCAAGCAUGACAUGUUAUAAUUUUUUAUUUAUAUAUUUGGGGAAAGUCUAGGACCCACAAGCACAAUGAUCAUUUUCCCAUUUGUUUAAAGCCUGGCAAAGUAAAUGCCUGUGCUUUAUAAAGUUGCCUCUUUGGUGCCAGAAAUAAAAUUGCUCAUUUGCUGCAGCUUUUGUUGCUGCUAGUGGAGAAAAUUUAAGUAUGGCGCUAUAGUCAUAUCAGUAUCACCGAAAAGGAUAAUUUAGCUGCUUUAAAAUGAUGUCCCUUUUAGUUCUAUUUGAUCUUGAAAUAAAACAAAAGCUUGCAUUCAUAAGACAUUCUGUUGUAAAUGUUAGUAUAUUUAUUUUAAGAGAACUGACCUCAAGAUUGUAAACUAGUGUAGUAACAUAUGUAAAUAACAUAUGAUAGUACUUUCCUCCAGUCAGUUUUCAAGUGGUGUUGCACUAGCUACACAUUUCUUUUUACCUUCCCUUCCUUUUUUGCUUUUUAUGUUGACUUUUAGACUGUCCAUCAGCAGAAUGUUGAACUGCCUAUCUGUGUUAUUAAUAGCAGUUCAAUGAACCUCUCAACGUAGUUGGUAAGUUUUUUUUUUUUUUUCCUAAGUGUUUCCAGGCCAUGUUAAGUUGCUAAUAGCAACAUAUUGACCUGGCAGAAUAGAAACUAUGGAAAACAACUUACAGGGUGACUUUUUACUGUUGGUAAGAAGCCUUUUGCUCAGGUUCCAAAGCAUAUUCAUCUUUCACAAAUUGUAAAAAGUAAAUUUGAAUAUUGCACUAUCUUCAAAUUCUAGAAAUGGUUCCUCCUUCUUCCAUUAUCCCCAUUCCAUACUUUCAUAGUUAUCUGAAAACAAAGUCAUUAAUUUCAUUCUCUCUUGAUUUUUUAAAAUUAUUCAUACAAUUCACCUCCAUGUUUGUCUGAUACGGUUAUCUAACAAUAGGGCAAAAUUGAGCUAAACCAGAGUGCCACCAAUAAGUUGGAAAUUAAAUGAAUGCAAAGAAGUAAAUUUUUAUACGGUAUUCAUAUUUCCAUCUAAACCUCACUUCCUUCUGAAACAACUAAUUAAAUAAGUGCUAGAUAUGUGAUGGCACUAGAUAGUAUCUUCUCCCUGGUAAUUUACAAGUUAAUUCACUGGAAAUGAAGUAGCCAUCUGAUUACACUUACAUAGUUAUACCUGCAGAGUGGUCAAAUGUAGUAGAUUUAAGUAAAAGAAACAGAUUGUUGAUUCUUUGGAUUCAUGAUUUCAAAUGGUGUCCAAGAUCCUUUCUAUUAAUAUAAUUUGCUCCUUGGAAUUUGACGUAAGAAAAUCAUUGUCAGUAAUGCGUUUUUGGAAAUGGAAUCUUGUAUUUGAUUUGAUGAUCCAACUGUGUAUCUAUGACUACCACACUGACCCCAGCAUUUUUUCCAUAGCACUAUUUGAUAUAUUCGGCUCUGCAGUGCAUUAUCAUUUCACACUUUAUCAGAAUAUGCGCACUUUAAGACUGGUGCUUUUUGCAACAGAGAAUAGCUACAUUCCAACUACUCUGCUUCUACUGUUUCUCUUAGAAGUACCAUUGAAAUUCUUCAGAUUCAUACAAAGUAUAAUGUGUAGAGUGCAGUACUGUCUGGGCAAAAGGCUUUGGACCAUAGGAAGUGCUGUCACUUCUGCAGGAUGAGCAGCACUAUCAGCAGAUCUUGACUGUGUAUUGCUCCUGAGGGUUGAAUUAGAACAGCAGGAGAAGCCAGGUCUCUAUAGUCAUUGUCUCUUCAAAAUCAUAGGUUUUCUUCCCUUGAUUGAUGUUAAGAUAGGUAUUUGGGUCAGUCAUCCCUCCCAUUCCUGUCGUAGUUCAGUCACAUCUGACUCAUCAUGACUCCAAAUGAGGUUUUCUUGGCAAAGAUACUGGAGUGGUUUUGCCAUUUCCUUCUCCAGCUCAUUUUAUAGAUGAGGAACCUGAAGCAAACAGGGUUAAGUGACUUGCCCAGGGUCACACAUCUAGUAAAUGUCUGAGGCUGAAUUUGAACUCCAGCCCUCUCGCUCUCUCCACUGUGCCACCUGGCCACUCAUAGAGCCAUUCCUGAUCCAAAGGAAUAAAUGUUCCAGAAGACAUAAUGUGAGCUUCCAUUUCUAAGCAAGAACUGAAUUUCUCAUUCCUUAGCUUUCCAAACUGCUAUAUGGCCUCUCUAAUGAUACUAUUAAAAUAACUCUGUAUGGUUGUGCCAGGGAGACUAUUAUAAUUAAAUCAUGGAUCAGAAAACUCACUAAAAAUAUUGAACCAUAUUUUCUAGAGUUUUUCAAUACAUAAAAAGAAAAAUUGAGACUGGCUUUAAUGAUUGAUUAAUUAAAAGUUUAGAUGCAUUUUAAAAAUUGAUUAAAUUAUGUCUAUGGCCAAACAUUUCUCUUGUGGUAAAGCAUCUCCUUUUGAAAUAUAAGCUAAUAAAAAAAUAGAGUCCAUUUACAUCAAAUUUAGUUUUUAGUCAACUUUAAUAAAAUGCAUAAUUUUAAAAUUUGGAACUAACAGUUAAAGAUUAACUCACAUAGUAUUACAAGAAUAAUUCAGCUUAAAAUGGUGCCAAUAUAUGAAAACCAGAAUUAUUAUGGUUCAGUGAUUGAGAGUGUGUUAGGAAGAAGGGAGUUCAGAAAGAGAAGAUAGUUAUUUCCAACGCAAUUUUUGCCAUUGGGUCUUUCAAAACAAGUUUUGUGAUUAUAAUAUUUUUUCCUUUUGCCACCAAUUAUCAACUAAAAUAGAUUCAAAACUUACUCUCAUCAGAUGUCCUCUGAUUUAGUGUCCAGAAAAAAAAAUUGGGAUAUUUUUAUAACAUACUUUAUAGCAUACAUUUUUUUGUAAACUAUGUUCAUUUUUGAAUAAUGUCAUUCCCGUGUUGGCUUGUAGAUAUUAAAGUGAAAGUAAUGACGAUUCAAUAAAUGUUUUCUUUUGGUUUCUGGUUUACUUUUUUCAUUCUUU
ensembl:lncRNA